AAGGAAUGCUACCUGGUUGAUCCUGCCAGUAAUCAUUAUGCUUGUCUCAAAGAUUAAG
rnacentral:rRNA from 1 species